CGAGAGUAAGGGGUCGUCCUGGGACCAGGGUUGUUUCUUGAAAAGAUAGGUCCUUUGGCACUUGACUGCUGUUGCUUCUUACGUUUCUCCAGACUCCACUCGUUCUGGUUAUUCGAUGAAGAACCGAACGAUCUGCCGGACUGCAUUCCGCUAGUCAUCAUUUCCAUUAUCUGCCUCUGAGUUGCUUCUGCCGAGACUCUUGC
rnacentral:lncRNA from 1 species